UUUCUUGGCUGAUCCCUUUCGCUUUAUGGCGUGCUCGUUUGGGUUGGGCGUCGGCUAAGAGUGCUCGGAGCAUGGAUUAACUCCAGUCUCCAAUCAGGUCCAUCUGGUACUGUCUGUUGUAAUGGGCUAAGACCCGAUUGGUACUGAAAUUGUAAGUAAGGCUGGGGCCAGACUUUUAAUUCUUUUAGAUGACUGACUGUUCCUUUUUAUAGUAGGGGAUUUCACACUGAGUUUUCGUAAACUCACCCCGUUUAUUAACCUUUCAGGUAAUUUCCAGCCUUAGAUGGAUCGGGGUUGCUAGGGGCUUGGAGGAAGCCACACACACUGUUUAUGUUAUAGUUUUGAUUAUUACCUUUAAAUUAUUUUAUGUGGGUUGUAGUAAAGCCGUUGUAAUUUUCUUGAUUUCAAAUUUGGAAUUUUAUUUAUUGUUCUUAUAAUUGCUAGUAUUAAAACACGAUUUUCCAAAGCAACUACUGUUAUUCAAAACAUCACGUAACCGCAAUUGUUUUUAAAGUAAGUUUCCGCAACUACCAAGAUUUUUACAAA